GCGAGGUCAAGCAAAUCCCAUAAAGUUGUUCUCAGUUCGGAUUGUAGUCUGCAACUCGACUAUAUGAAGCUGGAAUCGCUAGUAAUCGUAGAUCAGCAUGCUACGGUGAAUACGUUCCCGGGUCUUGUACACACCGCCCGUCACACCACGAGAGUUUGUAACACCCGAAGCCGGUGGAGUAACCAUUUGGAGCUAGCCGUCGAAGGUGGGACAAAUGAUUGGGGUGAAGUCGUAACAAGGUAGCCGUAUCGGAAGGUGCGGCUGGAUCACCUCCUUU
rnacentral:rRNA from 1 species